rnacentral:rRNA from 1 species
AUGUGGCUGUCCAUGGUAAGCAUGGUCCUGGCAUUCUACGCGGCUCUGGCCGCCAUCACGAGCACGAAGGUAGUCCGCAGCAUUGCCUACAACGCCAUACGCAAUGCCCUUUUCGCGUUGUUAGCCAUGGUGUCGCACCUGGUCAGCCCUCGGGUGUCGUCCCGCACGUUGUCCAAGUACCUGUGGCAAUGUGGCUCUAGAGGGCGUCGCAGUGUCGUCGAACAGCAAUAUCCACUCGUCGGUGCUUUCGUGCGCAACCUGAUUCUGUUCAGGGUUGCAAAUUAUGUUGCAGUGCUUGUGGACGUUACCACGGUCUUAGCACUUAGGUGA